GUGGGGAAUCUUCCGCAAUGGACGAAAGUCUGACGGAGCAACGCCGCGUGAGUGAAGAAGGUUUUCGGAUCGUAAAGCUCUUUCGUUAGGGACGAACGUGCUCUUUGUGAAUAAUGAGGAGUAAUGACGGUACCUAAAUAAGAAGCCACGGCUAACUACGUGCCAGCAGCCGCGGUAAUACGUAGGUGGCAAGCGUUGUCCGGAAUUAUUGGGCGUAAAGCGCGCGCAGGCGGGAUAUCAAGUCUGUCUUAAAAGUGCGAGGCUCAACCUCGUGAGGGGACAGAAACUGGUAUUCUUGAGUGUCGGAGAGGAAAGUGGAACUCCAAGUGUAGCGGUGAAAUGCGUAGAGAUUUGGAAGAACACCAGUGGCGAAGGCGACUUUCUGGACGAUGUCUGACGCUGAGGCGCGAAAGCUAGGGGAGCGAACGGGAUUAGAUACCCUAGUAGUCC
rnacentral:rRNA from 1 species